rnacentral:rRNA from 1 species
UGAGGAAUAUUGGUCAAUGGGCGCAAGCCUGAACCAGCCAUCCCGCGUGCAGGAAGACGGCCCUAUGGGUUGUAAACUGCUUUUCCAGGGAGAGACACUUGCGUACGCGUUGCGCAAUUGACGGUACCCUGGGAAUAAGAAUCGGCUAACUCCGUGCCAGCAGACGCGGUAAUACGGAGGAUGCGAGCGUUAUCCGGAUUCAUUUGGUUUAAAGGGUGCGUAGGCGGACUAUUAAGUCAGUGGUGAAAUCCUGCAGCUUAACUGCAGAACUGCCAUUGAUACUGAUAGCCUUGAGUUUGGUUAAGGUAGGCAGAAUGUGUAAUGUAGCGGUGAAAUGCUUAGAUAUUACACAGAACACCAAUUGCGUAGGCAGCUUACUGAGCCGACACUGACGCUGAGGCACGAAAGCGUGGGGAUCGAACA